GCGUCUGUCCUGAUCUCAAAAACAUGUGGCACUCAGAAUCAGCCGUUAUUACUAAGAGCUGAAGCAUCAGACGACAGCCUAUUACUGUCAGGACUGAGCCUUUCUCUGCUGUAACAAGCCUGUCUCUGGUCACGACUGUGAGGAGCAGGAGCGUCAUGUGCUCACCUCACCUCAACUCUUCUGCUCCAUAUAACGCAGCUUAAACAACAUCUGUACUUCACUGAUGGCAGAAUACUACGGAUACAAGAAGAGACCUGGUUUUAGUGAUGGGCUUAUUGUUGAUGGUCCUCCACUGUCCACUUCCAACCUCACUGCAGUACAGAUAGUAUCCCACAAUGCCCUCUGUUAUUUUGGGCUCCUUCCACUGCAGCUGGACUGAGCUGUUGGUGUCUCGGAUGGGCAGGAUGCCGUGUGGUGGAGCGGGAACUCCUAAAACACACAAAACCCCACAAUCAGCUGUACUGAAAAUGGUCACCUAGCGGUUGUCCCAGUGAGACGGGUUUGCUGGGAAGAGAUGGUUCGCUGAUGCCGUACUUGUUGACAGAACGAACACGAGUCGGCGAGCGGCUGGGGCUCUUUCUUGUGCCUGAUAUUGGACGAUUCGACCUCCUCAGCUCUGUGAACGAAUCACUCCGAGCACUUUUACACUGUGAGUCACGUCGAGAUGAUCUGAAACUUUAAAACUGCCCUCGAAAACCAGAAGGAUUUUGACCUUUUCCAGUGCUGGAGGCCAUAGACAUCAGAAACUGAGGAGCUAAACUUUAAAACUGCUUUUUGUGUUAAGUCUCUUGGGGCAUUUUAUUUGCUCUGCACCAUUAACUCUCUACCAAGUUAAUUUAUUGUCUGCUAAGGUUACUGCAUUUGCACAGAAUGCAGACGUACAUACAGAUAGUGGUGCGAUGCAACUAUACUAGAAUGCAUUUUAAUAAUCAUGAAUGCUUGCAGUGUUGACAGCUAAACUUUAAUGUCCAACAGUGAAGAUGACGUAGUGUUGUUUUUAUUCUUGUAACAGGCAGAGCAAUGUUGCUUGCAACGGCAAUGUCAUAGUUCGAU